UGGGGAAUAUUGCACAAUGGGGGAAACCCUGAUGCAGCGACGCCGCGUGAGCGAAGAAGUAUUUCGGUAUGUAAAGCUCUAUCAGCAGGGAAGAAAAUGACGGUACCUGACUAAGAAGCCCCGGCUAACUACGUGCCAGCAGCCGCGGUAAUACGUAGGGGGCAAGCGUUAUCCGGAUUUACUGGGUGUAAAGGGAGCGUAGACGGUUCUGCAAGUCUGAUGUGAAAGGCGGGGGCUCAACUCCUGGACUGCAUUGGAAACUGUAGGACUUGAGUGCCGGAGAGGUAAGCGGAAUUCCUGGUGUAGCGGUGAAAUGCGUAGAUAUCAGGAGGAACACCAGUGGCGAAGGCGGCUUACUGGACGGUAACUGACGUUGAGGCUCGAAGGCGUGGGGAGCAAACAGGAUUAGAUACC
rnacentral:rRNA from 1 species